CGUCUCCCUUUUACUGUGUUGAGGUAAAACCGUCCCGCGAUAACACCUCUCCCGAGUAAAUACGAAGCAAAUCUGCUCUACCACGCAACAGAAGCAAAUUCGCAGCACCCCUCCUCCUCAUCAGUCACCGCCUGGUCUUCUCGAUGGAGGUGGAGGAGUAGGGGAUCCCGCCGGAUCAGAGGCGUGUGGGCACAGCGGUGGGCAUCUCCGGCAGCGGCGGCGACCUGCAGGCCAAGUGCUACGGCGGGGGCGCUCGAUUUAAUGCAGCGCCAUGGACCGGUCCCUGCAGAAGUGAGAGAAGAUGAGGGAGAGAGAGAAGGAAGGAAAGGAGCAUCGAUGGUGGUCCGAGCGCUGCCGCCUCCAUCCUUGCACCAUCUUCGUCACAUGCAGCCGCCUCCUUCCGCACCCCUCUUCUUCACGCACGGCAACAGAGGCAGGUACUGUCAGGGAAUAAUAUUAUUCAGUUAGCAUCUUUUUUCGUGGAAGAGGAGUGAGAAUUUAAAGGUGCAUGCUACAUAGAAGCUUAGAUCUGUAAUCAAGCUGUGGAAGAGAGUACCGUAAGAGAUACUUCUAUAAGCAGAGUUGAAGAGCUCUCCAUGCUUAAGAUCUUUUCUAGGAUAAUUGCGUCGUUAAAUCUGAAGGAUUCACUCAUGUGCCAAAGCCAGCUCGGGGAAGCCUUCCUGGACUCCUGGUUGACCACAACAAUCACGAUACGGUGAGUGGAUUUUGAAUCUUUCUUGAGCUGUCGGAUCAGAUUAGAUGUGUAUAUGGUAGUUAUGGACUGCUGACUGCUUAAUGUUGGGUUUCCUCUGUGUACUAUGGUGUGAGCUUAAGCGAGCGGAACGCCGAAGGAGGAUCUUGGGGAUGACGGAGGCAUCGACGACAACCUCAAAGGCGAGAGACAGUGUGGGUUCAGAAGUGAGGAAAACAAUUUGGCUUGCAGGGUUCAGGCUACUCUCUUGUGAUGUUGGCUUAGGAGAAGUUAUUCGGCUCCAUUUAUGAUUGGUUCAUUUCGCCGUGCUCUAGCCCCGCAUCGUCCCCUCCUCCUUGGCUGCCGCUCUCGUCCUCUGACAAAGAACCAUGGGGCUUGCAGCUAUGCCUGAGUCUCCACAAGGACGUUGGGUGGAGGAUAUCCGGUGCCAACGGGCCGCUCAUGUCGGUGUCUGAGAUCUCGGAGCCGUCGGAGUCACCGUCACCGUCCGGAGACGGGUCGAUGGGGGAUGCUAUGAUGAAUUGGGUCUCUGUUAGAGGAAUGUAUUUUCUUGCAAACUAAAUUGGUUUUCUGGAACAUGUCUUCAUAUUUUAGAUUUUA